GAACGCGAAGAACCUUACCCGGGAUUGAAAUGUAGAUGACCGCUCCUGAAAGGGAGUUUUCCUUCGGGACAUCUAUGUAGGUGCUGCAUGGUUGUCGUCAGCUCGUGCCGUGAGGUGUCGGCUUAAGUGCCAUAACGAGCGCAACCCCUNUCUACGGUUGCCAUCAGGUGAUGCUGGGAACUCCGUAGAGACUGCCGUCGUAAGGCGUGAGGAAGGUGGGGAUGACGUCAAAUCAGCACGGCCCUUACAUCCGGGGCGACACACGUGUUACAAUGGUAAGGACAAAGGGCAGCUACCUGGCGACAGGAUGCGAAUCUCUAAACCUUAUCACAGUUCGGAUCGGAGUCUGCAACUCGACUCCGUGAAGCUGGAUUCGCUAGUAAUCGCGCAUCAGCCAUGGCGCGGUGAAUACGUUCCCGGGUCUUGUACACACC
rnacentral:rRNA from 1 species